AACUCCCAACCCCUGUGACAUACCACUUGUUGCCUCGGCGGAUCAGCCCGCUCCCGGUAAAACGGGACGGCCCGCCAGAGGACCCCUAAACUCUGUUUCUAUAUGUAACUUCUGAGUAAAACCAUAAAUAAAUCAAAACUUUCAACAACGGAUCUCUUGGUUCUGGCAUCGAUGAAGAACGCAGCAAAAUGCGAUAAGUAAUGUGAAUUGCAGAAUUCAGUGAAUCAUCGAAUCUUUGAACGCACAUUGCGCCCGCCAGUAUUCUGGCGGGCAUGCCUGUUCGAGCGUCAUUUCAACCCUCAAGCACAGCUUGGUGUUGGGACUCGCGUUAAUUCGCGUUCCCCAAAUUGAUUGGCGGUCACGUCGAGCUUCCAUAGCGUAGUAGUAAAACCCUCGUUACUGGUAAUCGUCGCGGCCACGCCGUUAAACCCCAACUUCUGAAUGUUGACCUCGGAUCAGGUAGGAAUACCCGCUGAACUUAAGCAUAUCAAUAAGCGGAGGAAAAGAAAAGAUCUCG
rnacentral:rRNA from 1 species